UUCCGGUUGAUCCUGCCGGAGGCUACCGCUAUUGGAGUUCGAUUAAGCCAUGCGAGUCGAGAGUCUUAGGGACUCGGCGCACCGCUCAGUAACACGUGGGUAACCUGCCCUAUGCUGGGGAAUAACCUCGGGAAACUGAGAAUAAUGCCCCAUAGCCCACUACGCCUGGAACGGUGAGUGGGUCAAAGCUCCGGCGGCAUAGGAUGGGCCUGCGCCGUAUCAGGUUGUAGGGGGUGUAAAGUACCCUCUAGCCAUCAACGCGUACGGGUGUUGGGAGACAUUGCCCGGAGAUGGAUUCUGAGACACGAAUCCAGACCCUACGGGGUGCAGCAGGCGCGAAAACUUGGCAAUGCGAGCAAUCGUGACCAGGGAACUCCAAGUGCGUAGGGUAAGACCUACGCUUUUCUUGACUCUUCAAAGGUCUUGGAAUAAGGGGUGGGUAAGGACGGUGCCAGCCGCCGCGGUAAUACCGGCGCCUCAAGUGGUAGUCGCUUUUAUUGGGCCUAAAACGUCCGUAGCCGGUCUGGUGCAUUCGUGGGUAAAUCAACCCGCUCAACGGGUUGAAUUCUGCGAGCACGGCCAGACUUGGGACCGGGAGAGGUGUGGGGUACUCUCAGGGUAGGGGUAAAAUCCUGUCAUCCUGAGAGGACCACCUGUUGCGAAGGCGCCACACUAGAACGGAUCCGACGGUCAGGGACGAAACCUAGGGGCACGAACCGGAUUAGAUACCCGGGUAGUCCUAGGUGUAAACGCUGUGGACUUGAUGUUGGGGGCGCUCCGAGCGCUUUCAGUGUCGAAGCGAAGGUGAUAAGUCCACUGCCUGGGGAGUACGGUCGCAAGGCUGAAACUUAAAGGAAUUGGCGGGGGAGCACUGCAACCUGAGGAUUGUGCGGUUUAAUUGGAUUCAACGCCGG
rnacentral:rRNA from 1 species